rfam:Myotis lucifugus cont2.8180, whole genome shotgun sequence.
GGCAGUUCUCGGGUGAUGCACCCCGGAAUUGGACUCCCUCCUCUCUGGUCCCGGGUGCAUCACCAGAGAACCGUA